UGCCUUUUUGUGUUGCCCAUUCUUUGCUUUUUCCUCAAAAGAAUGUGGUGUCAGCAAAGGCAUACAUUAAAGUCUUGGUUUGGCCUUGAAUAGGUACCAUCAGUGUUACCUUGUGUAAAGCUCUACCAUGCAUAUGGUUAAUUUCAGGCUACAUUU